CCUACGGGAGGCAGCAGUAGGGAAUCUUCCACAAUGGGCGAAAGCCUGAUGGAGCAACGCCGCGUGAGUGAAGAAGGUCUUCGGAUCGUAAAACCCUGUUGUUAGAGAAAAAAGAGCGUGAGAGUAACUGUUCACGUCUCUACCGUAUCUAACCAGAAAGCCACGGCUAACUACGUGCCAGCAGCCGCGGUAAUACGGAGGUGGCAAGCGUUAUCCGGAUUUAUUGGCGUAAAGGGAACGCAGGGGGUCUUUUAAGUCUGAUGUGAAAAUCUUCGGGUUAACCGGAGUAGCGCAUUGGAAACUGGGAGACGUGAGUGCAGAAGAGGAGAGUGGAACUCCAUGUGUAGCGGUGAAAUGCGUAGAUAUAUGGAAGAACACCAGUGGCGAAAGCGGCUCUCUGGUCUGUAACUGACGCUGAGGUUCGAAAGCGUGGGUAGCAAACAGGAUUAGAUACCCGAGUAGUC
rnacentral:rRNA from 1 species